CGGAAACGUGCAUCGCAGCUUUGGAUUGUGAGGAACCCAGUGACGGCGAGAAGAGAGGUGAACCGGGAGAAGGGCACGGAGGCCAGGCUGGCGGUUCCCAGCACCUAACACUUGCAGUUCAACGCCGGCGUGGGCGCCGGGGGAGGGUCGUGCACAGCGCGCGGAUGGGAGAGAAGGGUUGGCGGAUCCGGCGCCCGACACUCCCGCGGCGCUCUGCCCCGAGCGCACCAGCGCCGCGGGCCGGGGGGCCCCAAGUGGCUGGUCCUCAGCUGAAGCCUAAGGAUGCCACCCGAGCAGAAUGGGGGUGGGCGGCUGCCUCUGAGCCCAAAGGAAAAAAAAGUCCCGGUAAAACUGGAGGCCUGAGCUCCGGAACCCCCAGCGCAAGGCAUGGCCCUAGCCCCCUAGGCCCCAAAUUCCGUGCUCUGGGAGGGAAAUUUUCACUUUCAACUAACUCAGUCCUCAACCGAAGGGAAAAAAGAGUUCCGGAUUAGGCGUCGGAAUAUCAAAAUAACAAGAGAGCUGUGAGUAACACCCCGAAGAGGCGCUCAGAACACGUUUUAAAGAGGACGUACGUGUGUUUGUUGGGGUGGGGGGUUGGCGAGAGAAUAGUCAAACACACCCCUCAUCUUUCUCCAGGGUGAAACCAACGGAAUGGUCCCCAGAUCCAGCUCCCCGGGAAAGAGUCCUGCACCCCCUUCCCUGGCGGCUCCCCGCACCUCCUCCCACCCACACGGUUGGAAAACAUCCGACUUACUAUGAUACACUCUGUGCACGGGACAGCGGUCAGAGGAGGGAUGUUACGUGGCAGAAGCUGUGAAGCCCAUAUUGCGACGCUGGGAGCGCCGAGCCGGUUUGCGAGGACGCAGGAAGCACGUGGAAAAGUUUGUCAUUUGUGUUAAACGUGGCAAAAAGAAACCAAUAUAGAGGGAACCCGACUUCGCCUCCGGGGGGGCUGGCAGUCACGUGAGCAGACAGCUUAGCAGCACGCACUUACCUCAUUAUUGAUCAUAUAUUUACAAAUCCAAGAAAGAAAAAAUUUAAAAAGCCAACAGAACUCCCAAAUAACCCAAACCAUAUUCACAGCAACAGCCUUUGAGUUCCGUCAAAACCCUCCGUAUCAGAAUGACUGCCCCCAAUUGGGUAAUAAACCAAAUCGCUUUGUGCUUAGAGACGGAAAGAACGGGAAGGAGGGAGAGUCUGUUUUAAAAUAACUAAAAAAACACCCGCCCCCAAAGUCGGCAGUUUUAGAUUAUUCCAACCCACAAGUGGUUCUACUCUGACCUUCUAUAAAGCUUGCUCGGACUGUUGAAAAAAGAACGUAGACAGAUUUAUUAGAAAACCACAAACCCCCAAACCAAUAGGAGCGACAGGGAGGAACGGCAACAGUUCUCGGACCGUUGUGGCUUUACCCAGAUUGGACACGACCACCCGUGUGGUCCCAGGACCCGCCACACCAGCAUUUACAGGAGCGCUUGUUGGAAAUCCAGAGUCUUAGGCCCAUCCAGACCUAGUGAGACAGGAGCUCCAUGAACCAAGCUUCCCAGGUGAUGCGUGGCACAUUCGAGUUCUAGAAGCUUUGCUCUGGGUCUUUCCGGGGCUCAUCCUCAGCCCCUCUUGGACAUCUUUCCACGUCAAUACAAGAUUCACCUGACCCCUUUAACGGUAUCAACCUGCACCAGUCCAUUCCCUUUGGAUCCUCCGCUUGGUUGCUGGUUCAGCCUUGAAAAGCUGGUCAGCACCAGAACUCCUGGAAACAUAUUUCUGCUGUGUGAGCUCUUGUGGUGGGAGAACCAUGGGGUCAGGUCUCCGGCCUGGCAAGGCAAGCAGGUGUAGUCAGAAGAGCUGGUCCCCACUUUGCCUACAGUUGGAUGUGAAGGAAACUGAACCCACCUGCCUGAGACUUGGAUUGGCUCAAAGGACGAUGUUCAACGUGUGAACAGAGCAUUCCUCGCCUGGGACUGUGACCAGGGCAGAACUCGAGGUCUGCGAUUUUGGAAGAUGCAGGAGUUUUUAGACAUUCAGUUUCCUUAUUCUGUCCUCACUUUCAACCCAAAAGAUCAUCCACUUCUGGGUUGACUCUAAGGCUAGGUCUAGGCAAAGAGGCCAUUCUACUGAGGCAGUAUUUACAGUUUUGACUGGAAGAAGAAGAAAGAAGAAGAAGGAAGAAGGAGAAGAGAAGGCAGAGGAAGGGGGGAAGGAGAGGAGAAGAAGAAGGCAGAAGAAAAAAACACAACGAAACCAUGUCAUAUAAACUGAUAUUCUCUCUUCUUAAAAACAUGUUUUGAGUAGAUACUAUAUAGCACAUGCCUAAAAUAAUACUCAAACAGGAUAAAGAGUAUUUGAUUAAAAGUAAGUCUCCCUGGUACAAACGACCUCCUUCCUCCAGGUCUCCAGAAGCAACUACUGUUACAGUUUCUUAUGUAUUCCAGAAAUACACACACACACACACAAGCACACAGGCCGGCACACCAGCAGUACACAUAUUUACAAUACACCCUCUUCUCAAACACCCUCACCAGGGUGGUCAGAAGUACAAGGAGCCUCUCCUCAUCUAAAUGAAGAUAGUUACCCCCAUCUCAAAAGCGGGAUCACAGCAUCAGAAUCUGAGCACACCACACAUCCUGAUUUUUCCUGCUCCCCUUGGUCACAGAGAAGCUAGAACAAUCAGAGCCCCAGGUGAUGAGAGAUCAAGGAGCUUCCUGCCCUGAGUCAGAUUCUCCAAAGUGUCCCCAAGAUGGGAGUUUGAGUCACUGCCCAAAACUUGCAGGUGAGUUCAUUUUUUUCCCCCAUAUUAUAAUUGCAAAAUCAAUAGUAUGUCUUCCCUCCUAUCUGGACGGUAAUCAUACUUUAAAGUAUAUAUAAGAACAGGAGAUGAAGGUAAUUAGUUAUUGUUAUUUUUGUUUAUUCAUUGAACAGGUAAUACAGUCACAUAGUUCAAAAUUUUAAAAAUAUAAUGAAAAGGUUGCCAUCCCUAUCCCCCAGCCACUCAGUUCCCUUGCUUAAUCACUAUCUCUGUCAUGUGAGAGAUAUUCUUUGCAAUCCAAGCAAAUAUAAAUAUAUAUUCUCUGUACAAAUGGUAACAGACUAUACAUACUGUUUUCUCCACCAUGCAUUUUUUCAGUUAAUAUCUUGGAGAUUAUUUCUUUUCAGUUUAUUAAAAGCUCCUUCCUUUAAAAAGGGCAUCCUUCUGUAAUAGGGAUGUAUUAUAAUUUAUUUAGCCCAGUUGAAAGACAUUUAGAUUGUUUCCACUUUUUUACUAUCACAAACAAUACUGCCAUGAAGUACCUUGUAAAUUAUCAUUUGCAUAUAUGCCCUAAGGAUUAAUCCCUAGAAUUAGCAUUAUUCAAUCAGGAAGUCUGUGCAUUUGUAAUUUUGAUAGAUGCUACCAAAUUGUUACCUAAGUAGCGUCCAAAUUUGUGUUGCAGUGUAGAAGAGAUCCUGCUUGGUUGACAGCUAAUUUAAAUGCUCAGUUUUUAUUUUCCUGAGUCCAGGGAACAUGUGAUCUCUAAUUUGGAUGUCACAAUAGGUGACGGGCUGACCACUGUGACUCUGCAGGAUGGAAUAAUAAACUGUCGUUUCCCCUUUUAAAACAUCAAGCUACAAAUUCUAAUAGAUUUCAACAUCUGGUACUGUUUCCAAUUCUGCUUGAGAUUUACUAAUGACUUUUUCCAUCGUUGGGGAGAGUGGUCCAAGUGUGCCGAUGCAUCGUAUCGGCUGAGAAAUAUUUAUGUGUGGAGCAUUGCGAUUCAGGAGGGAUUGACCGGGCUCCUUUCUCAUGUCAUGAGCUGUGCUGUGCCAGGGGUCCAGCAGUAAACAAAACAGCAUCUCUGCUCUCAACCAUGUUAUACUAAUCAUCAUACUAUCAUGGUGAUUAGUAUAAUUUAUUUUGAUUCUCUCAACAGCCCUGUAAGGCAGUUAGAGUGGGGUGUAUGUGAUGAACCCACUGCCUCCCACCCAAGUCAUAUGGCAAACGCUGCUGGUCUGUUCCCCUUUCUGUAUAGAACUUCUGAUUGGAGAGGGCACAUAUUGCAUGGUGCACUGGGUGUUAUAUGCAAAUAAUGAAUCAUGGAACAUUGCAUCAAAAACUAGGGAUGUACUGUAUGGUGACUAAUAUAACAAAAUAAAAA